rnacentral:lncRNA from 1 species
UGAUCAUACAAGCUCUUGCAGCUUUAGAAAAUGGCAAGUCACCUCAAGUCUGGCUUGCGCAUCUUAAACAGUAAACCUUUGACAUGGUCGUUACACCCCAAGUUAUUAUAACAUUGCACUGGGAUUGACAUGACUUUGCUUGUUAUUCUCUUAGUGUUGGAAAGCCCUUGCACUCUGCCGGUCUUACUGCCAUUGCACGCAGAUGGGUUUCCACACUAGUGCUUUUCUAUCGCCUUAAAGUCCGUGCCUUUCUUUCAGGGUGCUGUCAACUUGUUUGUUGUUAUAAACAGCCACAGUUCAGCCUCAGCUAUCCCCCUUCGUCCACCAUCAUCACGAUACAGGAUGCGAGGCAAGGCACUGCACUUGAGUGAUCCUUGACGUGGACCUCAAGGAGAGCAUGUCCUAUUGCAUGCGGGUUAGACGCGUCCACGCCCCGCCCCACGAAAAAAGGCGUCGGCUGAUAUGGCAAG